CUGUGUUUUGAACGAUCAGCGGCGGGCAGAGAGGGGGGUUACGGCAGGUUGUUGUCUUAAACAUUACUGGCACACUGCUCAUAAUUUCUGUCAUUGCAAGUAGGCGUAUCUGUUUAUAGGGGCGCAUGCGAGAACAAACACAGAAGGCAGCGUCACACACACCAUUUCUGUUUAAUUUUAAAGCACAAUUCUUGCGGUUAUGUAAUCGCACAUGACGACAUCGCGAUUGCGAUGAGAUUAAUUGUACAGCCCUAGAGAAGAGUUUAACUGGACUGUUUCAUAACACCAAAUGGUGCAAUGGGACGGACAUCUUUUCUGCUCUUGCUGAUCUCUCUGCUGAGCUGCAGGACCAGCGGAGGUGAGUGAACUCUGACACUCAAAGCUGUUCACAUAACGCUUUCUGGUAAAAAGUCAUGUAAAAUGGGAAGAGAUGUAAAGAGUUUGAACACAACAAUAAAAAAACAAAGGCCACCACCUCUUCUUUUUUCCACAUGUUGGUUAAAUAGCAUUCAUUUCUAUUCCUGGUAACACUGCAACUUUAACACCAGAGCUGGGCAGCAUCGGAGACGUUACAGACACAGCUGUGGAAAGUUGGGAGCUGAGCGCUGUGGAUCUUCUGAAUCUUUAUUCAUAAUGCGGCAGCUGCAAAAGUUUGAUUAGCUAGGCCAACUUCAUCAAUCCCCCCUAAAUUCUGUCAACAAUAUAAUUGAAAUAAAGGAUAAAUUGAUAUUGGUAUUUUCACUGUCGUUUUUAAUGAUUAACAAAUGCUUAAAUAACUGACCUCUCUGGGCUGGUUGGAAAUGAAUAAUGAUAAUAAAGCUUGGUCUGUUUCCCUGAGCUAAUUACUUCAAACCAACUGUGCUGUUGAUGUCCAAGCUGUGGGGGGAGAAGUACUGUGGCCAAGUGUGUUAGUAACCACUGAUUAGUUAAGCAUAUCCGGUCGUUAACUAUCCAACAAAGUGUCAAGUUUUUACUGUGAGACAUCUGGGGUCUCAUUUCUAAAUGCAUCGUUUAACACAAAAAAGAGCUGGAAACGUGUGUACGCCACUUCCCAAGCAAAGGUUGUGAUCCAAAAAAAAAAAAAAAAACCUUGACGGGAAAAUGUGCGUCCCGUAAUUAAACUUUGAACCAUGCGUACGCAUAUAAAGAACAGAAAAGAGAAACGGCGACUCACAUGGCAAGAAGAUGAAACGGUUUGAAAUGUUCAUGAAAUUUUAAUAGGCUACGUUCGGAUAGUUUUGGUUUGGUUUCACAUUGUAUUUCUGCAGCACACUGAAUAACUUUACAGGACAGACCUGCGUCCUGCCUAUGUGGGCUGCGUCUCCCUAUACUUGACAUUGGUUGGUUUAUAAAUAGUUCUGCGAGGAGCUUUGAAGAGAAUGAAUGAAUGAUGAACAGAUGCAUAUCGUUGCCACUAUAUUAUUAUGGUAUUACUAUACAGGAGGCUACGGUUUGAAAUGAAUAGGCCUACUACUGUGUAAAAUAUAUCGAAAUAUUACCUCUGAGUAUUAUAGGCUUAAAGCCUUUCCAAAUAAUCAUACACUCAUUUGAUAGAUUUUCCCUUAAGCGCAAAAAAAAUAUCCAAAUUUAGGAUCAUAAACACAAACGGAGAUAUGACAUCCGCAAAACAACUCAUAUAGGCCUAUGUUGUACAGUGUAAUAAGGAAUCACAUUAAUCAAUACUUGAAUGCAGCGCAAUUUAUUCUCAUAAAUAAGGUGAACAGGAGGACAAAUUUUAUUUAAACUGAUUUCAAUGUGUCAGUUGAGCAAAUAGGAGAGCAUAGUUUCACAUAGCCUACUGUUAUCAGAUGUUUGUUGCCUUAUCGAGCCAAACGCUGUGGGCCAGCGUGUGGAUGUGAUGCGCUGCUUGUAAAAACACAUUAUGGAAAAAUAACACUAUUUUAUUGUCAUCCAACGAAGGUUAAAAUCAAGGGCAACUGGACAUGGUUGAAGAUCUUCAACCGACCUGGAUGACUUAGAAUCUUCAUAGACAUAUUUUAUUGUCAUUUACAACAAGUCAUGUUUAUUUUAAUCAGCAGCCUCCUUAAGUGAGUGGAGUGUUUGUGUAGUGAGUGGAGUGUUUGUGUAGUGUUGAAUGUUUAAACGCAAGCGUUGUGCUUUUGGUUUACUCAAAUGGGGGAAUCCAAAUUAGUACCUGGGUCAUCCCGUCUGUGUGUGUUUCUCCCUUCAGCCAGUGACGUCACUACUCAAGACGGGUUACCCACCAAACAGCUUCAGCUUCACCAAAAAGAACGUCAGUGUCACACUGAGUUAAAUUUCGUUUUGUAGCUUCUCUGUCAGAAUCUCUGUCUCCUUUCCUUCAUGCAGUCAGUACGUAUUAAUAUUAAUGAAGGGCGUUUCACUGACUAUUUAGAGGAAACUAUGGGUGAUUGGAGCUCCCUCACAUGCGCCACAUUUCAAGUUGAUUGUGAUUUAUAAAGGGAACAUUGUUUACAAGUGUGCGUACGCACUUUUUUAUAAGUCUGAAUAUUUUUUGCAGUACACCAUUUUUUGGCUUUUGGACACACGUACACUUAGUGAGGUUUCUACGCACAGUUUUAUAAAUGAGACCAUUGUUCAUUUAGCUAAAAAAUGUAACGUAUCUGCUCCAGCCUCUCUGACUGUGAGUCCCAGCAGCUCUCAGUUUUUCAUCAGGAAGUCUGUCUCUCUGAGCUGUGAGGAGGACGACAGCUCUGCUGGAUGGACGCUGAGGAGGAACACAACCAGAGGAACCAGGACUCAGUGUGGAGCUGACUGGGGAAGAUCAGCUGGUUCUUCCUGUAACAUCAGCUACAUCACCAAAUUGGACAGUGGAGUUUACUGGUGUGAGUCCAGAGAGGGAGCAACCAGUAACACCAUCAACAUCACUGUCACUGGUGGACCAGUGAUCCUGCAGAGUCCUGUCCUCCCUGUGAUGGAGGGACAUGAUGUCACUCU